UACGUAGGGGGCAAGCGUUGUCCGGAAUCAUUGGGCGUAAAGAGCGUGUAGGCGGCCCGUUAGGUCCGCUGUGAAAGUCCAGGGCUCAACCCUGGAAUGCCGGUGGAUACUGUCGGGCUCGAAUCCGGAAGAGGUGAGUGGAAUUCCUGGUGUAGCGGUGAAAUGCGCAGAUAUCAGGAAGAACACCCGUGGCGAAGGCGGCUCUCUGGGACGGUACUGACGCUGAGACGCGAAAGCGUGGGGAGCGAACAGG
rnacentral:rRNA from 1 species